rnacentral:rRNA from 1 species
UACGAAGGGGGCGAGCGUUUGUUCGGAAUUACUGGGCGUAAAGGGCGCGCAGGCGGCUCAGACAGUCAGAUGUGAAAGCCCCGGGCUUAACCUGGGAACUGCAUUUGAUACUACUGAGCUUGAGUACGGGAGAGGAUAGUGGAAUUCCCAGUGUAGAGGUGAAAUUCGUAGAUAUUGGGAAGAACACCGGUGGCGAAGGCGGCUAUCUGGACCGUAACUGACGCUGAGGCGCGAAAGCGUGGGGAGCAAACAGG